AGCCUAUUAGCUCAAAUGGUAGAGCAAUGUGCCAGCACAUAUAUAUGUAGGUUCGAGUCCUACAUAGGCUA
rnacentral:tRNA from 1 species